UACGUAGGUGGCAAGCGUUGUCCGGAUUUACUGGGCGUAAAGAGCGCGCAGGCGGUCGUUCAAGUCGCGUGUGAAAGCCCCCGGCUCAACUGGGGAGGGUCACGCGAUACUGAUCGACUGGAAGGCAGGAGAGGGUAGUGGAAUUCCCGGUGUAGUGGUGAAAUGCGUAGAUAUCGGGAGGAACACCAGUGGCGAAGGCGACUACCUGGCCUGUUCUUGACGCUGAGGCGCGAAAGCGAGGGGAGCAAACGGG
rnacentral:rRNA from 1 species